rnacentral:rRNA from 1 species
GACGUAGGGCGCGAGCGUUGUCCGGAUUUAUUGGGCGUAAAGAGCUCGUAGGCGGCUUGUUGCGUCAGCUGUGAAAACCCGCAGCUCAACUGUGGGCUUGCAGCUGAUACGGGCAGGCUUGAGUUCGGUAGGGGAGACUGGAAUUCCUGGUGUAGCGGUGAAAUGCGCAGAUAUCAUUUGGACCGCCAAUGGUGAAAACAACUCGCUGGGGAAGUGCUGACGCUGAGACACGAAAGCCAGGGGAGCAAACGGG